GGCUCAGGAUGAACGCUGGCGGCGUGCCUAAUACAUGCAAGUCGAGCGAACUGAUUAGAAGCUUGCUUCUAUGACGUUAGCGGCGGACGGGUGAGUAACACGUGGGCAACCUGCCUGUAAGACUGGGAUAACUUCGGGAAACCGAAGCUAAUACCGGAUAGGAUCUUCUCCUUCAUGGGAGAUGAUUGAAAGAUGGUUUCGGCUAUCACUUACAGAUGGGCCCGCGGUGCAUUAGCUAGUUGGUGAGGUAACGGCUCACCAAGGCAACGAUGCAUAGCCGACCUGAGAGGGUGAUCGGCCACACUGGGACUGAGACACGGCCCAGACUCCUACGGGAGGCAGCAGUAGGGAAUCUUCCGCAAUGGACGAAAGUCUGACGGAGCAACGCCGCGUGAGUGAUGAAGGCUUUCGGGUCGUAAAACUCUGUUGUUAGGGAAGAACAAGUACGAGAGUAACUGCUCGUACCUUGACGGUACCUAACCAGAAAGCCACGGCUAACUACGUGCCAGC
rnacentral:rRNA from 2 species